rnacentral:lncRNA from 1 species
CCGUAUGCCCGCUCGAUUCUUUGUUUCGUUCUUAACUAUCACCUGUUGAUCUCAGAACACGAUCCCGGCUUAAUUACUUGGGGUUUUACUCAGAUUUCAAAGCUCCAAAUUACUUGAAUUCAUUCCAUAAUAUCUACAUAGUUCGGAAUCACUCCUACAAGGCAUAAAAUACAAAUUAGUAUAAAACACUAGCGAUUAAAGCUCAAACUCAAUUAAAAUGCAGUACAUUAGAGUGUAAUAAGCGACUAAAAUACGCAAUUAUCGCCUAUCAUGAGCUUGUUUUGAUUUCUUCUAUUAAUGUUAGACAAUCACCUGUGAUAAGCAUAUCAUCUACACAGACAAGUACCAUAGUAAUACCUUCUGAAGUUCUUUUUAAGAAUAGAGAAUGAUCAUGUUGACUCUGCUGAAAUUGUGAAUGAGUCAAAGCCUCUGUUAAUUUUGCAUUCCAUUGUCUUGGAGCUUGCUUUAAUCCAUACAAGGAUUUUACAAGUCUACAAACUGGUCUAUUCUCCCCCUGACUUGUGAAACCUUGAGGUAAUUACAUAUAAAUCUCAUCAAAUAAAUCUCCUUGUAGAAAGGCAUUAUAGACAUCCAUCUAGUGAAUAUGCCAAUUCUAAGUUGCUGAUAAAGCUAGAACUGUCCUGACAGUUUUUAUUUUUACUACUGGUGAAAAAGUUUCUUGGUAGUCUAUACCUCCUUUCUGACUGAACCCUUUUGCUACUAGUCUGGCUUUAAACCUCUCUACUUCACUUGUGACUUUGUACUUUACUUUAUAGAUGCCCUUCCAGCCUAUAAGAUUUUUGCCUGCUGGUAGAGGAACUAUGUCAUAGGUGUGAUUAUUUUGCAAAGUUUCAAUUUCACCUUUCAUUGCAUCAAUCCACCUAGGUUCCUUUGCAGCUUCGGAAUAGGUAGUUGGUUCAAUGAUAUUUGAUGCUGAUGAUAUGUAGGCUUUGUAUUUGGGUGUGAUGUUGUCAUAAGUCAGAAACUUUGAUAAUGCAUAAGGUUCAUCUUGAUAAAUAUUAAGAGAUACAAAGUCUUUCAUCCAUAUAGGUGGUUUCUUACCUCUAUAGGAUUUUCUAAGUUCUAACUCUGCAGGAAGAAUAAUUGAUGUAGUUUGAGACUGUUAAAUCAUUGGUAUUUGUGUAAUUACUGUCCGUUGAACAAACUAUUGUGGUGUUUCUAAAAUAAGAGGAUCAUGUAGUUGUUGAGUUGAUGGUGCUUGUGUGAUCAAGUCUUGUUGAGAGGUUGACUUGGAGAGUGAUGAACUAGUUGAUUGUGUAUUCUGCUGAUUGUGUAUGCUUGCUUCAUGAUAGAGCAAGUUGCCAGGACUUGUGUAUAAUGAUGAUUGACCUUUAGUAAGAUAUAAAUUAUAUAAUGACUAAUUGCUGCUUUGAGGAGCAAAAUAUAGGUUGACUUUUGCUUUGUUGGCUUUUAAAUGGAAAAUAAUCUUCCUUAAAGAUGACAUCUUUGUUGACAAAAAAUAUUUUAUCAGUCAUGUCAUAUAACAACUAACCCUUCUAAUUGUGUGCAUAUCCCAUAUGAAUAGAAGUCUUUGAUCUAGGCAUUAGUUUAUCAUGCUGCUGAAUUAUUUUAGCAUAGCAUAGGCACCCUAUAACCCUUAGAUGAUGCACAAAUAACUGUGCUAGAAAAUCUAUAGAUAAGACAAACUGCAGCUUGAAUGCAAUGUCCCCAGAAUCUUAUGGGAAAAGCAGCUUGGAACCUAAUUGCUCGAUUUUUUUCUAAGAUAUGUCUAUAUUUCCUCUCAGUUACCCCAUUUUGCUGAGGGGUAUAUGGCCAUAUUUUUUGAUGAAUUAUUCAUUGAAUGUUGAACAUAUUAGUACACACUGAAUUAACAAAUUCUGUCCCAUUAUAAGUUCUGACCAUUUUCAGUGAUUUAUCAAAUUGAGUUUUCACAAAUGCAAAAAAUUGUUGCAAAACCAUACAUAUAUCAGACUUUAAUUUUAGUAAAAAUAUCCAUGUCAUUUUGGUAAAGUCAUCAACCACAGCUAGAAAAUACUUGUUGCCAUCAAAAGUAGGUAUUUUAUAAGGCCCCAAUAGGUCCAUAUGAAUGAGCUCAAAACAAGUAGUAGUUCUAAGAAUUGAUAUACCACAUAAGUAUUUGUGGGAAUUUUUCUUUGGAACAAGUUCCAUCAACCAACCCCAAUUUAUUUCUUCCUAGCAAGGCCAUUCUCAUAUAUCUAUACCACAGAGAGUAGUUUUCGAUACUUGUUAGUUGAAAUGAGAUGAUUUAAAUUCUACUCACAUUAGAUAGACUCAAGAACAAGGGGUGAUUGUAGUCAAGAUUUGGUGCAAAACCUGGUACAGUUCCCCCGAAUUGAUUUCCAGUAGAAUUGACUAGGACUGCAUGUAUGGGUUCUUCAUUUUCCAUUGCUCAGAAUUGUUGGUUGAAUUGUUAGAUUGAAUGACUGUUACUCAAAUUGCGGAAUUGAAUGAUCAAGUUUCAAGCUCUUAGAAGCUUGAGCUCUGACACCAUGAAGUAAUCUUGGGUUUCUUACCUAGAUGAGAAAAAGAGAGAGAUAGAGAUAGAGAGACAAAGAAGAAGAUAGCAAAAUAGAAAAAUGAUC